GAUGAACGCUGGCGGCGUGCUUAACACAUGCAAGUCGAACGGUGAAAGCGGGAGCUUGCUCCUGCUGGAUCAGUGGCGAACGGGUGAGGAACACGUGAGCAACCCACCCCGAACUCUGGGAUAACAGCGGGAAACCGCUGCUAAUACCGGAUACCUUCCUGCGGUCGCAUGGCCGCGCGAAGAAAGGGUUACUGGUUCGGGACGGGCUCGCGGCCUAUCAGCUUGUUGGUGGGGUAACGGCCUACCAAGGCUUCGACGGGUAGCUGGUCUGAGAGGAUGAUCAGCCACACUGGGACUGAGACACGGCCCAGACUCCUACGGGAGGCAGCAGUGGGGAAUCUUGCGCAAUGGGCGAAAGCCUGACGCAGCAACGCCGCGUGCGGGAUGACGGCCCUCGGGUUGUAAACCGCUUUCAGCAGGAACGAAUCUGACGGUACCUGCAGAAGAAGGUCCGGCCAACUACGUGCCAGCAGCCGCCGUAAAAC
rnacentral:rRNA from 1 species